rnacentral:rRNA from 1 species
CCUACGGGUGGCAGCAGUGGGGAAUAUUGGACAAUGGGCGAAAGCCUGAUCCAGCCAUGCCGCGUGUGUGAAGAAGGCCUUCGGGUUGUAAAGCACUUUCAGUGGGGAAGAAAGCCUUGGGGCUAAUACCCUCGAGGAAGGACAUCACCCACAGAAGAAGCACCGGCUAACUCCGUGCCAGCAGCCGCGGUAAUACGGAGGGUGCGAGCGUUAAUCGGAAUUACUGGGCGUAAAGCGCGCGUAGGCGGUCUGAUAAGCCGGUUGUGAAAGCCCCGGGCUCAACCUGGGAACGGCAUCCGGAACUGUCAGGCUAGAGUGCAGGAGAGGAAGGUAGAAUUCCCGGUGUAGCGGUGAAAUGCGUAGAGAUCGGGAGGAAUACCAGUGGCGAAGGCGGCCUUCUGGACUGACACUGACGCUGAGGUGCGAAAGCGAGGGUAGCAAACAGGAUUAGAUACCCCAGUAGUC